rnacentral:rRNA from 1 species
GACGAACGCUGGCGGCGUGCUUAACACAUGCAAGUCGAACGGAAAGGCCCUGCUUUUGUGGGGUGCUCGAGUGGCGAACGGGUGAGUAACACGUGAGUAACCUGCCCUUGACUUUGGGAUAACUUCAGGAAACUGGGGCUAAUACCGGAUAGGAGCUCCUGCUGCAUGGUGGGGGUUGGAAAGUUUCGGCGGUUGGGGAUGGACUCGCGGCUUAUCAGCUUGUUGGUGGGGUAGUGGCUUACCAAGGCUUUGACGGGUAGCCGGCCUGAGAGGGUGACCGGCCACAUUGGGACUGAGAUACGGCCCAGACUCCUACGGGAGGCAGCAGUGGGGAAUAUUGCACAAUGGGCGGAAGCCUGAUGCAGCAACGCCGCGUGCGGGAUGACGGCCUUCGGGUUGUAAACCGCUUUCGCCUGUGACGAAGCGUGAGUGACGGUAAUGGGUAAAGAAGCACCGGCUAACUACGUGCCAGCAGCCGCGGUGAUACGUAGGGUGCGAGCGUUGUCCGGAUUUAUUGGGCGUAAAGGGCUCGUAGGUGGUUGAUCGCGUCGGAAGUGUAAUCUUGGGGCUUAACCCUGAGCGUGCUUUCGAUACGGGUUGACUUGAGGAAGGUAGGGGAGAAUGGAAUUCCUGGUGGAGCGGUGGAAUGCGCAGAUAUCAGGAGGAACACCAGUGGCGAAGGCGGUUCUCUGGGCCUUUCCUGACGCUGAGGAGCGAAAGCGUGGGGAGCGAACAGGCUUAGAUACCCUGGUAGUCCACGCUGUAAACGGUGGGUACUAGGUGUGGGGUCCAUUCCACGGGUUCCGUGCCGUAGCUAACGCUUUAAGUACCCCGCCUGGGGAGUACGGCCGCAAGGCUAAAACUCAAAGGAAUUGACGGGGCCCCGCACAAGCGGCGGAGCAUGCGGAUUAAUUCGAUGCAACGCGUAGAACCUUACCUGGGUUUGACAUGGAGCGGGAGCGCUCAGAGAUGGGUGUGCCUCUUUUGGGGUCGGUUCACAGGUGGUGCAUGGCUGUCGUCAGCUCGUGUCGUGAGAUGUUGGGUUAAGUCCCGCAACGAGCGCAACCCUUGUUCACUGUUGCCAGCACGUUAUGGUGGGGACUCAGUGGAGACCGCCGGGGUCAACUCGGAGGAAGGUGGGGAUGACGUCAAGUCAUCAUGCCCCUUAUGUCCAGGGCUUCACGCAUGCUACAAUGGCUGGUACAGAGAGUGGCGAGCCUGUGAGGGUGAGCGAAUCUCGGAAAGCCGGUCUCAGUUCGGAUUGGGGUCUGCAACUCGACCUCAUGAAGUCGGAGUCGCUAGUAAUCGCAGAUCAGCAACGCUGCGGUGAAUACGUUCCCGGG